AGUGGUUCAGGUGCCAAGGAUGCCCUAAAAAAAUAGAUUUCAAAACUCCUGUAAAUUUGGCAUAGAUAUUGAAAUAUAUUGAUUUGUUGGAGGAUAAUAUUAAAGCUGUGCCUAAGAAUUUUGCAAAAAUAUUAAGAUUUAUUUUAAGUAAAUUUUGUUUGAUCAUGGCAUCACUGUUUCAUUUUUCCAUUUUAAUUCUUUGUGCUACAUAAUAUCUGGGAUACAGUAAAGGGCUGCUUGCAAGUGCUUGGAGCAGAAAUAAGCUCCCACCACGGCUGCACUUCAGCAUAUCCCACUGAGCCGUGAAGUGCAGCAGCGCCUCGCUCACCAGCCAGCUCUGCUCCUGGAACUGGGCUAGAAAUGAUUGUGUCUGGGGUGUAAAAAUGUUGUCUUGGUUUUCAAGCGACCUCCACCUCAAGGCUUACAACCACCGUUCCUCCUGCAAAGAAAGGAAGAUUGAAGGAAGGUCACGUGGAGGCUGCUGCCAAGGUCAAAGUGCAGCGCGUGCUUGGCGGGAUCUGGCCCCACCCUCGCUGACAUUUGAGGAGUCCUCGAGUGUGAAGAUGCACUUGAAGGAGAACUGGUGA
rnacentral:lncRNA from 1 species